rnacentral:rRNA from 1 species
AAAAAGGCUUCUGGUUAUAAACCGGAGGAAGGCGGGGAUGACGUCAAGUCAGCAUGCCCCGUACACCCUGGGCUACACACGUGCUACAUUGGGCGAGACAAUGAGAUGCAACUCUGCGAAGAUUAGCUAAUCUAUAAACUCGUUCUAAGUUCGGAUUGUAGGCUGCAACUCGCCUGCAUGAAGGUGGAAUCGCUAGUAAUCGCUGGUCAGCUACACAGCGGUGAAUUCGUUCCCGGGC